AGGGACAGGGCUAUAACGGUAGCGCCAGCAGGAAAAACAAUCGCCACGAACGAAAAGGAAAAAUCCUGAAAUGUUUUCCUCAAAAAACUUCAUUUCUUUUCCACUGAAGAAAGAAAGACAUGGAUAUCUUGGAUGGCACUGGGGAUGACUGAAUCUCAACACUUGAGCUGGAGGUAAUCAUCGCAGGUGUAUCCAGUGAAGAUGGAGGUGCCUUGGUCCUGUUGUCUGACACCUACAAUGAAUAAACCGUCCCUGCAGCUGUGGCCAUGGACAUCAGUGCUGAAGAUCUUCCAUCACACUGAAACUAACACUGUCCAUUGUACUGAGCUGUUGCUGGAGGAAUUUUUUUUUUUUUUUUUACUGGUUACAUUUUUUUUUAUUAAUUCAGUGUUCAUGAAUGUUCAUGUAAAUUUCAAUUUAAAAUGUGUUCUUUUUAAUAAGUUUUGUAAAAAAUUAAAUAAAAAUUGCAUUCUAUAAAAGUAAAAUAAAUAAAGUCUGAUGCGUCUUAUCACCUCCCUACCUUUAAAUACAAAUGCUUAAUGCUGCUGAUCGUAAUGCUACCAAGUAUGUUAAAC
ensembl:lncRNA